GAAAUAUCAUUACUCAGAUUCCUCCUACCGUCAAAAGUCAGCCACUCCUUCAGUAACUGCUAGCACUAUCCCUGGCACCACACCCCAGGCCCAACCCAAGCAGCCCUUCAUGCAAUAUGACCAGUACCCGAUGGUUCGCAGCUGGAAUCCGUAUGCUUCUGCUCUGUUCCCACCCCAUUAUGGAACGGCGCCGUAUCAUUCUCAAGGGCCUAGGGAGUAACUUAUGGUGGAAUCUACAGUUUCCAGCCAUUACUUGUGAAGUGUAAAAUAAAUUUACUAAAUGUA